rnacentral:piRNA from 1 species
UGUCUAGGAACUACAGCAAAUGGGA